rnacentral:ncRNA from 1 species
GAACUCCGGAGAAGCUCAUUUCGAUGAGUGCCGAAGGGGCAAGGCCGUACCCGGCUGAAACUCUCAGGCAAAAGGACGGAGCAG